rnacentral:rRNA from 1 species
AUACGGAGGGUGCGAGCGUUAAUCGGAAUUACUGGGCGUAAAGCGUGCGUAGGCGGUUUGUUAAGUUGGAUGUGAAAGCCCCGGGCUUAACCUGGGAGGGUCAUUCAAAACUGGCAGACUAGAGUGUGGUAGAGGGUAGUGGAAUUCCUAGUGUAGCGGUGAAAUGCGUAGAGAUUAGGAGGAACACCAGUGGCGAAGGCGACUGCCUGGACCAACACUGACGCUGAGGUGCGAAAGCGUGGGUAGCGAACAGGAUUAGAAACCCCAGUAGUCC